GAGAAAAGGCUUUUAUUUCUACCAUCCAUGAACUGGUAGAAGGAACAAGUGUGAUAGUUCACAAAAAGCAUGCACGAAGUUCACAGUCAUGUGCACAAGCAUAUAUACCCCUUUCCAGUUCCCUCCUCCUUUCCCAGGAGUCCUGCCCCAUGAGUUCCUCUGAGCAUGAACAGAAAGCUGUCUUGGGACUAUUGGGACUCUUGGCAGGAAAGGGGAAUCAGAACAGUUCAGCAUGUCUAAGAAGUUGCAACUGAAUGAGAUAAGAUUCAUUUCCCAGGCCUGCUAUGAACAGAGCCUAUUCAUUAGCCUUUAAAAGUAACAUUUUGCCUUUUGCCACAGCAUCUUGUGAGAAGAGCAGAGAAAAGCUGUUUUGGAUUUUUUUAGAAGACGAAAGGAGUUUUGAGGCCUGGUUGAUUAUUGAAGCCUGGGGUGAUUUCACAGACAGGAUUUGGGUAUUCUGUCCCUUCAGUAUGGUUAAGAACAGCGGGGUUACAUUUGAUUAGUUUACAUAGGUUUUAACUACGGAUAGAGCUCCGCAGCCAAAAUGGCCGCCAGCCUCGCUUCCUUCUUUCUUCGCUUCUCUCCGGGAGCUUGACGAUCUCCAAACAUCGCGAGACUUCGCCUCGAAAAGCGGCGAGUGACCCAAACCGCCCCGUCAACCCACAAAGGGGCGUGUUCGAAAGGGGGCGGGGCGAAGUCGUGCCUAGGAAACCCCUCCCCUCUGCCGGCAUCAAAUUCCCUCCCCGCUUUUAUUCCUACCCUCAGGUAACCCCGCACCGAAGCGCCAUCAAAAAGCGACGCGAAAGAGAGGAAGGUCCCCGGGCCAUAAUAAUAAUAAAAACCCCCACACACCCUAAAUACAUCUGUGAAGAAAGGCGGAAGGGCCUUUCACCUACGACGUCGCGUCGCCGAUGUGCAGCUCGUGAUGCUUGACGCUGCCUAUUUCACUCGCCUGAUAAGUUUCCCCCCGCCGCGAAAGAGGCCCAUUUGGGAUCGCUGCUCGCGCGAGAGAGACGGCGGGAAAGAGAGGGAGCUAGGCAGGCCCCGGCUCCGAACGCGACCCCGCUGGAGUUGCUCGGCAGAUCAGGCGCGGCUGCCCUCGGCGGGGGCGAAGCUGUGGCAAUGGCUGGUGGCUCCUUAGCCGGAGUCGAGCCUCGGCGCCUGAGGCGGAGCCCGGAUUAGGGAAAGCUGAGGAGAAGGCGGCGGCGGCGGCACUAAUUUCCUCCAUCCCCUCAUUUACCUCAGCCUCCCGGCCGUGAGGAAAGGCCUCUCGCGCCCUCUUCGCUUUCCUUCCCUGGCUGGGUGGGGAUGAGGCGGCAGCCCGGCGGAGGAGGCGGUGGCGGAGGGGGCAGCGGCAGCGGCAGCAGCAGCGCCGGCAGCGGCGCGGGCGGCGACAACAACGACACCGACGACACCGACUUGGAGGGGCGGCCCCCCGCCUAGCCCGGCCCCGCUCCCCCUCCUUCCCCACAGGCUCCCCUCGCCGGGCCUGAAGCGGCGGAGGAUGUCGGAGGAGCCUGACGCGGACAAGAUGAUCAAGGUAGCGGGGCCUGCGGGGCGGCCUUCAUGGACGACGCGCGGAGGGGUGGGCGAGGAGGAAGAGGAGGCCGCUUAAUUGUUCUACUUGAAGCCUGGGCGCAGUGCCUCUGAGCGUGUGCAGAGUUCGGACGGCAGCAGGGCCUGCACCCCCGGCCUCUUGGCAGAUUCAAAACAGAUACGAGAAAGUGUUUGUCCGUGCAGCGCUUGGCUGAACCGCGGAACUCGCGGGAGCCAGUGAUGGCCAUCAACUUGGAUGGCUUGAGAAGAGGAGCCGUGGCAGAUAACCCAGCCAGAUGGGCGGGGUAUAAAUAAUAAAUUAUUAUUAUUAUUAUUAUUAGGCUGUCGGUGGCUACUAUGCACUGCCUCCACAGUCAGAGGCAGUAAAUGCUCAGGAUUAACAGUUGCUGGGAACCACAGGAGCCGAGAGGGCUCUUGGUUUUGGGUCCUGCUUACGGGUUUCCCACAAUAGGCAUCUGUUUGGCUGCUAUGGGAACAGGAUGCUGAGCUAGAUGGGCUCCUUGUGCCUUGAUUCAGCAGGCUCUUUCUUACGUUCUUAUCCUGGACCUUGGCAAUCGUGCAUCUCUUAUAUUUUUUAUUUAUUUAUGGCAACCUUCCCUUCUAACCAGAUGAUGUUGGGCUCUCAUAAACCCAGGGCAGUAGUGGUCAGGAAUGAUGGGAGCUGUAGUCUCAACUACACCUGGAGGCUAUACACUGGGGGAAGACUGACUUAAUGGCAUUUGUAGGUUGCUUUGCGACAUAAAUUUCCCUGGGUGGCUUAUAAUAGGUAAGCUUAAACACAAAUAGGCAUCAAAAAUAGACACAGAUACAACAAAAACAAAACUCUGCAGCUGCAAAGUUAAAUGGAUUUAAAAACGGAGGGCCACAUGUUGUACUUUAUUUUAAAAGCCUGUGCGAAGUGAAUGCUUUUCCAUUGGUGCUGAAAUUAUGGUCUUUUCUCAGGCUAGCUUUCCUGGGAAAUUUGUUCUACAACCAGGGUGCCUCUAUGAAAAAGACCCUCUUCUUGAUGGUUACUUAGAACUGUAGAAUUGUAGAGUUAGAAGGGACUUCAAGGGUCUCACUUCAUUUGACAGAGCACCCAUUAUUCAUAUAUAAUACCUACAAAGCAGCUAGAGUUUUCUAAUCACUAUACUUAUACUUACAAAUAUGAGACAGUCACUGCUCACUGGCUUACAAUCUUAGUGGACACAAUGCAAAACGAAAGAAGGGUACAGAGGAAAGAAGAAAGCAAGUGUUGAAGCAGCUGCUACUUCAAUGGAGAAUGGUUGGGGCCAGGUUGAUCUCCCCCUUGCCAUGAUUCAUGGCCAAUAAGUCACAUGUCCCACAGGUCUGGGCUUGUGGAGUACAGUGACUCAGAGAAUAGUGAAUUAUUAAGCAGAAAUGUGUUCCAGUGCUUACAAGUUUUGUUCUCUGUUAGGAAUAUGAGGAUUAAUUCAGGCAAAAGAAGCUGCCUUAUACCGUAUCUGACCAGUGGUCCAUCUAGCUGACAGUGAUGCUCCAGGAUCUCCGAUAGGAGUCUCCCAGCCCUAUCUGAGAUCCUAGGGAUUGAACCCAGGAUUUUUUGCAUACUCUGUCACUGAGUAGUAGUAGUAGUAGUAGUAGUAGUAGUAGUGUAGAGCCCUUUAUAUAUACACAGCACUUAGCAGAGAAUGAAAGAACACUUCUUUGUUACUAUGGUGUUAGUAUUAUAGCUCCAUUCACAUGCACAGCAUUCCCAAACAAUGAUUCUUAUUAUUGAUUUUGUAAAUUUACUAGGGUCUGUGGCCCAGCUCGCUUCACUUGCCAACCCCACCUACCACUGUGCUUGUAGGACUGGGCCACCUCCCAGGCCACCCGCCCACUUGUUUGCUUCAUCUCUUGUUCCCUCCUUCUCACCCUUUGAAACUGCAGUGAUGGCCCAGCAGCUCUGAGGGCCCAAUUUGUCAUUGUACUGUAGUUUGCAGUGCCCCCUGUGGGUGGCCACACAAACUGCAGCGUGGCCAUGUUCUUAACUAUUUAUUAUAUGCAAGAUAUAUUUCCAUCAAUAUAAGAUGACAGGUCUCUGCCUCAAGUGCUUACGAUCUAAAAUUGGAUAUUGGGGAGACAGCAGAGGGAGGAGGCAGGGGCAAAUAGGAAAAUGUUUGAUUAUUUGGGUUCAACAUAUUUAAUUAAGUAUUCAGUGUUCAAUGGGAAGAGAAGUCUCUGCCCCAAGAUGCUUGUGAUAACAUACACAUGUAUGCCUGCACAAGGGAGACUGUAGAGCAGGCAUGGCCAAACUUGGCCCUCCAGCUGUUUUGGGACUACAACUCGCAUCAUCCCUAGCUAACAGGACCAGUGGUCAGGGAUGAUGGGAAUUGUAGUCCCAAAAACAGCUGGGGGGGCCCAUCACUGCUGUAGAGGAGCAGGAAGGAAAUGUUUAUUGAGGUAAGAAUAUGUGGGUGUUGCUGUACACAUACACUAAAUUUGUACCCCUCUUUAUAGCCCCAGGUGUGGUUAACCUUUGCCCCUCCAGACGUUGCUGAACUGCAACUUCCAUCAACCUCAGUUAGCAUUGCCAAUUGCCACGGUUGAUAGGAGUUGUAGUUCAGCAACAUCCAGAGGGUGAAAUUUCCCCAACACCUAUUGUAGUUGGAUGGCUUUAGAAAUAGAAAAUAUCAAUAAAAAUGUAAAGAAGUUAUGUAUUAAAGACCAGGGGGUCUACAACAGCAUUGGCAUCUAACUGAAACAGAAGAUCAGGAUCUAAAUGCCAGAGAUUCUAAAAUGCCUGUGAGUGUAUAAAGGUGUCUAAGAGCAAGCUGGCUGUCAAUCACACCAUUCAAAGUUGGAAUUAAGUCUUAGUAAAAACAUGAACUGUACAAACUUGGCUGAUGUCAGGUCUAAUGAGCACAUCCCCGGUAGGACUUACCCCAUGAAUCAGUUGUCAAGACCGAAAGCCCCUGCCUCCCCAUAGCCAUCUUAAGUCUCCUCCAGGGCUUUUUCUACGCAGUCGGAAACUGUGCCUGCGUGAAGCCUGCUGCUGCUCCGCCCAUUUCAGCCCUCUUCUGGUUUUGGGAGGAGGGGAGCUAUUGCAGCAGUAGGGGGAGACACCUGUGACUCUUCACCAGCCUGACUCAUCUUGGCCUCCCUUCUCCCACUCGUCUGCUGCAGCUUCUGAUUCUGGACUUCUCUCUGUCACAAACUCUUGGUAUCUGAAGAAGUGUGCAUGCACACGAAAGCUCAUACCAAUAACAGACUUAGUUGGUCUCUAAGGUGCUACUGGAAGGAAUUUUUUAAAUUUUGUUUUGACUACGGCAGACCAAUUGUAACUAGAUUCUCCCAGUUGCAUCUUCAGCUUCUGGCACCUCCUCUUCCCACCUCCCUCUGGCCACUCGUUGUCCCACCCCCAAUCCCUGGGCGCUUUGUUCCCCAGCUGGGCCUUCCUUCCACUUCUCUGCAUCCAACCAGUCCAUGACAAAGGUCAUCACUUGGCAGCAAAAAGACAUAAUGCUGCCUGCCUGUGUUGCUGCCCUUCUCUCCUGCUGCCUCCCCCUUCCCAAUUAAUUAUUAUAUAUCCACAUUUAUUGUACAUGUCUCAUAAACAGCAAAAUGCUAGAGUUACAGCUAAAUAAGAUCCAGCAUAUAAACUGAACAGAACAAAUUGGUAUUGUAGAUUUGUGGAUAUGCUCUUUAUAUAAUUACAAUACAAUUCGGUACUAUAUUACACUAUAUAGGAUUUGCAGCUGGCAUCACAUAGGGCUCUGCCUGAGCUCUCCAAAGAUGAUGCUGUAGUUAAAUGUUUCUUCUUUUCCCUUUUGAAACAGGAAACUUCUAUUUUAGAAGAAUACCAUAUUAACUGGACUCAGAAGCUGGGAGCUGGUAUCAGUGGUCCAGUAAGGUAAGAAGAUGCAUUUUGUUGCUGUGAUUAAACUCUCUGGAUAAUAAUGAAAUACUGAAUGCUUUAAUUGUGCUGUGAGCAGAAAUGGAUAUUCCUUCGCUCAUUUCUUAUUCGGUUUGUGUCAAAACAAAGUUAUUUUGUAACACAUCUUUAAUGCUUUUAUUUAUUAGGCUUCUGUCCCACUAUUGCAUAAGGUUCCCAUCCUCAAUUUGCACAUACAUAACUCCAGCAGUUCACAGGACUCCUUUACAAUGUUUUUUUUAAAAAUAAAUGCAGUAACAUGCCAUUCUCAUAUGUGUUUAAUGACAGCAAAAUGUGACUUUCAGACAUGGUCACACACACCUCCAAAUUGUUUUGGACUGCUUUUGUGCUCAUGCGUAGGAGCAUAAACCACCUUUUAAUCCAGCUACUUAAGUAAGCUAGUUGUGGCCCCAGUAGCUCUUUUUCAUUUUAGGAAGCAUGAAUGGGCCUGAUCAGGCAGGGGUUAUAUUUGGGUUCUGACCAAUCAAAUGACUUUUCCUAUGUUCAUCAGGUGUGGAGAGAUGCCGUGGCUUCCAGGCAGGAUGUUGUGCCCUGUUCAAGGGAUGUUUCCCAACACACUAUGUCCAAACAUUAAUGUAGAAAUAAUGCAGGAGUCUAGAUUGGGAAGGCUUUAGACUCUCUCUCUCUUUCUCUCUCUGUCUUCAAAUGAGGAAUUCAUUCAUAUGUCGGUAGCUUCUUUAUAACUUCCCCACUAACCAAAUGAUUUUGCUGCUAUCUGGACAGAGUCUGCAUGAAAAAAUCGUCUCAAGAACGGUUUGCACUGAAGAUCCUUCUCGAUCGCCCUAAAGCUAGAAAUGAGGUAUAGUCCACUCUUCUUGAAAAAUGUUCUAUAGAUCUGUUGCUCCACUUGUGUGUUCUUCCCCUGCCCACUCAGUUAUCCUAAAACAAUUUAUAGCAGUAAGAAGCACUCCUUAACACACCCCAUUAAAUAUAUGUGGACGGUUGCUGUUUUAUUUAGAGCCACUGUGAUUUCCUAAUUGUCUAAUAAUUUUCUGUCUAUUUUCCAUGUCAAAUAAAACCAGCGUGGCUUACAAUGUAAAAUAAAGCAUAAUGCGUAAUUUUUUAAAAAAUAUAUAUAUAUAUAACUAUUACCCUGUGGGCAUUUCACUUCCUUGGUGAUGUUGGGCACAAUUUGAAGACAUUUUUAUCUGUCGGUGACUUUGGCAAGGGACAAGCUUGCUCCAUCUUCCAUGUGACUGCCCUUUAGAUAUUUGAAGAUGGCUAUCAUAUCUCCUCUCAGUCUGUUCUUUUCUAGGCUAAGCAUACCCAGCUCCCUGAACCGUUCCUCAUAACCGUUCCAGACCCUUUAUCACCCUUCUUAAAAUUGUGGUGCCUAUGUGUGCCUUAUGCCCCAGAAUCCCUCACUCCACACCUGAGGUUUGCUCUGGUUCUGCCUUUAUGGCAGUAAGAUUCCACACAGGAGGAAGCUUGAUGAAAUUGCUCUCCACCCGUACUGAUGUUAGUGGUGGUUCUGGCUGGGCUGAGCUGAAAAUCAACCCCCCACUCAGAUCUGGAAGUGGAGCAGGCAGUGAUAUCCAGCUUACGGGGUCGGGGCUGCUCCUGUCUCACGGUUUCCCCCAUAGACUGUUACUCGUUGCUGGAAUGUGGGUGAAAUUUUGGAGGUGGUCCCAGAUUUCUGACGAACCCACACAUGGGUGCUCGUGGUGAGUUACUCAGAGGCAUUUCUUUAUUUCUUCAAUUCCCCUUCGCUAACUCUGCUGCGUCAAGAAAGUUAUUCAACCUUGCCCUGUUGACCCUUGAAACGCCUGCAGUUGGGAUCAGCUUCCUUGAGCCCAGCUUUUGAGCACCUCACCAGAAGGAAGCAGGGGAGGCUGCUUAGCAGGCUGCUCCACAUACUUCCCAGAGCAGAUGGACCUCUUGGCAAACAUUGCUUUGCUGUAUCUACUUUGCUUGCCUGUUUGUAAUCCUCCUUGUUUUUGCCUGCCUAACGUCUUCUGUAGACUUGGCCAGCCAGCACCCACGUGUGUCUUUCAUUCCGCCAACCAGCCUUGAUUGCCUUGUUGUUCCUCGGCACAAUCGUGCUCCUUUGCCUCUUGCCUGAUUCUACCCUAUACCCCAAGGCUCAGGCUAAGCAUGGGCUUAUCUUGGCUUUAAAAAUACCGGCGCACAUGCAAGGGCAGCCUUCCCCCAGCCUGCUGCCCUCCUGAUGUUACGGAGUAUAACUCCCUUCAGUCCCAGCCAGGAUGGGAGCUCUUGUCCAAAACAUCUGGAGGGCAGCAGGUUGGGGAAGGCUGAUCAAGAACAUGCCAGGCAGCCAGUAUAAACUGGAAAAAUAACUGAGCAUGUGGCUGAUGUGCUUCCCUCAUUGCUAAACUAAGUUGAUUCUCAUGCGCUUAAGAAUUAGAGGUAAGAACUUCAGGAGGGGCAGUGCUCCUCAAGCUGACCUUAAUUCUGCCCGCAGGCAGAGGGGUAUAAAAAUGGGGUGGGGGAGAAGCAAAGAGACAGUUGCUAAGGCGGAUGAGCAUGGCUGCAUUUUAACUUGUCUUCUCUUCUCCAUCAGGUCCGGCUGCACAUGAUGUGUGCGACACAUCCCAAUAUUGUCCAGAUCAUCGAAGUUUAUGCGAACAGUGUGCAGUUCCCUCACGAGUCAAGUCCAAGGUA
rnacentral:lncRNA from 1 species